rnacentral:rRNA from 1 species
AGUGCAGAAUAACCCUGCGAAAGCAGAGCUAAUACUGCAUGUGGUUGUCGGAUGGCAUCAUCUGACAACUAAAGUCGCAAGACUCUCUCAGAUGGGCCCGCGGCCUAUUAGCUAGUUGGUGAGGUAACGGCCCACCAAGGCUAUGAUGGGUAGCUGGUCUGAGAGGACGGACAGCCACACUGGGACUGAGACACGGCCCAG